rnacentral:rRNA from 1 species
AGGCGAAAAGAACCCCUGUGAGGGGAGUGAAAUAGAUCCUGAAACCGCAUGCAUACAAAAAGUCGGAGCCCGAAAGGGUGACGGCGUACCUUUUGUAUAAUGGGUCAGCGACUUACAUUCAGUGGCGAGGUUAACCGAAUAGGGAAGCCGAAGAGAAAUCGAGUCCGAAUAGGGCGUCUAGUCGCUGGGUCUAGACCCGAAACCAAGUGAUCUAUCCAUGGCCAGGAUGAAGGUGCGGUAACACGCACUGGAGGUCCGAACCGACUAGUGUUGCAAAACUAGCGGAUGAGCUGUGGAUAGGGGUGAAAGGCUAAACAAACCUGGAAAUAGCUGGUUCUCUCCGAAAACUAUUUAGGUAGUGCCUCGUGUGGUCACCUUUGGGGGUAGAGCACUGUUUUGGCUAGGGGGUCAUGGCGACUUACCAAACCAAGGCAAAC